rnacentral:rRNA from 1 species
AGAACGAACGCUGGCGGCAGGCUUAACACAUGCAAGUCGAACGGUUGUAGCAAUACAGCAGUGGCAGACGGGUGAGUAACACGUGGGAACCUUCCUAGGGGUACGGAACAACUCAGGGAAACUUGAGCUAAUACCGUAUACGUCCGUAAGGAGAAAGAUUCAUCGCCCCUAGACGGGCCCGCGUAGGAUUAGGUAGUUGGUGAGGUAACGGCUCACCGAGCCUACGAUCCUUAGCUGAUCUGAGAGGAUGAUCAGCCACACUGGGACUGAGACACGGCCCAGACUCCUACGGGAGGCAGCAGUGGGGAAUCUUGGACAAUGGGCGCAAGCCUGAUCCAGCCAUGCCGCGUGAGUGAAGAAGGCCUUCGGGUUGUAAAGCUCUUUUACCAGGGACGAUAAUGACGGUACCUGGAGAAUAAGCCCGGCAAACUUCGUAGCCAGCCAGCCGAC